AACAGCAACAGGGAGCGCUGUGUGGCAGUGCACCUAUUCCACAGUAUUAUCAGUGAGAGAGCCACCAAACCUUGAUUUUCCAUAGAUAGAAAUAAUGAGGCAGUGAGCUGCAAGG